AGAGUUUGAUCAUGGCUCAGAACGAACGCUGGCGGCAGGCUUAACACAUGCAAGUCGAACGCACCGCAAGGUGAGUGGCAGACGGGUGAGUAACGCGUGGGAACGUGCCCUUCAGUUCGGGAUAACCCAGGGAAACUUGGGCUAAUACCGGAUACGUGCGAGAGCAGAAAGAUUCAUCGCUGAAGGAUCGGCCCGCGUCUGAUUAGCUAGUUGGUAGGGUAAUGGCCUACCAAGGCGACGAUCAGUAGCUGGUCUGAGAGGAUGAUCAGCCACAUUGGGACUGAGACACGGCCCAGACUCCUACAGGAGGCAGCAGUGGGGAAUAUUGGACAAUGGGCGCAAGCCUGAUCCAGCCAUGCCGCGUGAGUGAUGAAGGCCCUAGGGUUGUAAAGCUCUUUCACCGGUGAAGAUAAUGACGGUAACCGGAGAAGAAGCCCCGGCUAACUUCGUGCCAGCAGCCGCGGUAAUACGAAGGGGGCUAGCGUUGUUCGGAAUCACUGGGCGUAAAGGGCGCGUAGGCGGCCUGAUAAGUCGGGGGUGAAAGCCUGUGGCUCAACCACAGAAUUGCCUUCGAUACUGUCGGGCUUGAGACCGGAAGAGGUAAGUGGAACUGCGAGUGUAGAGGUGAAAUUCGUAGAUAUUCGCAAGAACACCAGUGGCGAAGGCGGCUUACUGGUCCGGUUCUGACGCUGAGGNGCGAAAGCGUGGGGAGCAAACAGGAUUAGAUACCCCCGUAGUCC
rnacentral:rRNA from 1 species